GACGAACGCUGGCGGCGUGCUUAAUACAUGCAAGUCGAGCGCAGGGACGAGGAGCUUGCUGCGCUGAUGUUUGCGGCAGGGGGGAGUAACACGCGUGGAUACCCCACCUAUCAGACUGGGAUAACUUCGAGAAACCGGAUCUAAUACGGGAUAAUAUUUUGAACCGAAGGGUGCAAAAGUGAAAGACGGUCUUGGUGGCAGUUGGAGAUGGAUCCGAGCUGCAUUAGCGAGUUGGCAAGGUAACGGCUUACCAUGGCAACGAGGCUUAGCCGAACUGAGAGGCUGAGCGGCCACACUGGAACUUAGACACGGUCCAGACUCCUACGGUAGGCCGCAGUAGGGAAGCGGCCGCAAUGGGCGAAUGCCUGACAGAGCAACGCCGCGUCGGUGAGUAAGGGCUUGGGGUCUUAAAACUCUGAUACUCGUGAAGAACAGAUGUGUAAGUAACUGUGGUUGUCGUGACGGUAGCUAAUCAGAAAGCGACGGCUAACUACGUG
rnacentral:rRNA from 1 species